AACGUAGGGGGCGAGCGUUAUCCGGAAUCACUGGGCGUAAAGGGCGUCUAGGCGGUCCAGUAAGUCCUGCGUGAAAGCUCCCGGCUCAACUGGGAGAGCGCGUGGGAGACUGUUGGGCUAGAGACUCGGAGAGGGGUGUGGAAUUCCCGGUGGAGUAGUGAAAUGCGUUGAGAUCGGGAGGAACACCAGUGGCGAAGGCGGCACCCUGGCCGAGUUCUGACGCUGAAGCGCGACAGCGUGGGGAGCAAACGGG
rnacentral:rRNA from 1 species